rnacentral:rRNA from 1 species
CAGUAGCCGCGGGAAUACGGAGGAUCCAAGCGUUAUCCGGAAUCAUUGGGUUUAAAGGGUCCGUAGGCGGUUUAGUAAGUCAGUGGUGAAAGCCCAUCGCUCAACGGUGGAACGACCAUUGAUACUGCUGAACUUGAAUUAUUAGGAAGUAACUAGAAUAUGUAGUGUAGCGGUGAAAUGCUUAGAGAUUACAUGGAAUACCAAUUGCGAAGGCAGGUUACUACUAAUUGAUUGACGCUGAUGGACGAAAGCGUGGGGAGCGAACAGGAUUAGAGACCCCCGUAGUCCCUGUCUCUUAUAC